rnacentral:tRNA from 1 species
GGAGGUAUAGCUCAGUGGUAAAGCGCAUCCUGCUCAAGGUCCUGAGUUCAAUCCGCAGUACCUCCA